UACGUAGGGAGCAAGCGUUACUCGGAAUUACUGGGCGUAAAGCGUGCGUAGGUGGUUCGUUAAGUCUGAUGUGAAAGCCCUGGGCUCAACCUGGGAAUGGCAUUGGAUACUGGCGGACUGGAGUGCGGUAGAGGAUGGCGGAAUUCCCGGUGUAGCAGUGAAAUGCGUAGAGAUCGGGAGGAACAUCCGUGGCGAAGGCGGCCAUCUGGACCAGCACUGACACUGAGGCACGAAAGCGUGGGGAGCAAACAGGG
rnacentral:rRNA from 1 species